rnacentral:rRNA from 1 species
AUUGAACGCUGGCGGCAGGCCUAACACAUGCAAGUCGAGCGGAUGAGAAGAGCUUGCUCUUCGAUUCAGCGGCGGACGGGUGAGUAAUGCCUCGGAAUCUGCCUGGUAGUGGGGGACAACGUUUCGACAGGAACGCUAAUACCGCAUACGUCCUACGGGAGAAAGCAGGGGACCUUCGGGCCUUGCGCUAUCAGAUGAGCCUAGGUCGGAUUAGCUAGUUGGUGAGGUAAUGGCUAACCAAGGCGACGAUCCGUAACUGGUCUGAGAGGAUGAUCAGUCACACUGGAACUGAGACACGGUCCAGACUCCUACGGGAGGCAGCAGUGGGGAAUAUUGGACAAUGAGCGAAAGCCUGAUCCAGCCAUGCCGCGUGUGUGAAGAAGGUCUUCGGAUUGUAAAGCACUUUAAGUUGGGAGGAAGGUCAGUAAGUUAAUACCUUGCUGUUUUGACGUUACCGACAGAAUAAGCACCGGCUAACUCUGUGCCAGCCGCCGCAGUAACGC